GAUGAACGCUGGCGGCGUGCCUAAUACAUGCCAGUCGAGCGAACAGAUGAGGAGCUUGCUCCUCUGACGUUAGCGGCGGACGGGUGAGUAACACGUGGAUAACCUACCUAUAAGACUGGGAUAACUUCGGGAAACCGGAGCUAAUACCGGGUAAUAUAUUGAACCGCAUGGUUCAAUAGUGAAAGACGGUUUUGCUGUCACUUAUAGAUGGAUCCGCGCCGCAUUAGCUAGUUGGUAAGGUAACGGCUUACCAAGGCAACGAUGCGUAGCCGACCUGAGAGGGUGAUUGGCCACACUGGAACUGAGACACGGUCCAGACUCCUACGGGAGGCAGCAGUAGGGAAUCUUCCGCAAUGGGCGAAAGCCUGACGGAGCAACGCCGCGUGAGUGAUGAAGGUCUUCGGAUCGUAAAACUCUGUUAUUAGGGAAGAACAAAUGUGUAAGUAACUAUGCACGUCUUGACGGUACCUAAUCAGAAAGCCACGGCUAACUACGUG
rnacentral:rRNA from 1 species